rnacentral:rRNA from 1 species
AAUCAACGCUGGCGGCGUGCCUCAGACAUGCAAGUCGAACGAUUAAAGCUCUCUUCGGAGAGUGUAUAGAGUGGCGCACGGGUGAGUAACACGUAAGUAAUCUACCCUCGAGUGGGGAAUAACGUCCGGAAACGGACGCUAAUACCGCAUAAUGCAGCGGCACCGCAAGGUGACAGUUGUUAAAGAUUUAUCGCUUGAGGAGGAGCUUGCGGCAGAUUAGCUAGUUGUUAAGGUAAUGGCUUACCAAGGCUACGAUCUGUAACCGGUCUAAGAGGACGGUCGGUCACACUGACACUGAAUAACGGGUCAGACUCCUACGGGAGGCAGCAGUCGGGAAUUUGGGCAAUGGGCGAAAGCCUGACCCAGCAACGCCGCGUGAAGGAUGAAGUAUUUCGGUAUGUAAACUUCGAAAGAAUGGGAAGAAUCAAUGACGGUACCAUUUAUAAGGUCCGGCUGACUACGUGCCAGCAGCCGCUGUAAG